CAGUAUUAGUGCAAAUUUUUUAAAAUAGCCCUAGUUGGCUUCUAAUCUCCACCCACAUGCAAAUUUCUCAGUUCUAGACCUCAAUCACAUAAUUUAAUCAAUCCAAACAAUGAUUAUUUCAAUUAAUUAUGCAUAAAUAUCAAAAACCCUAACAUUUCAUGCUUAGACAAUUAUCCUCAUACAAAAUCAUGCUCUUAAAAC
rnacentral:lncRNA from 1 species